CUGAACUCAUAACAAUAUACUUAUAUGUGAUAUCCAUUUUCUAGCUGCUAAGGCUUCAAUCCAAACCUUUGGGUUUAAAUGGGAUUUCAUUUUGAAAUGAAAGCAGUUUAAAUGGAAACAAGAAAUCUCCACCUCCUGCCAAAUUGGGAAUUUAAAACUGUGUGCUGCUGAAGUGUCUAGCAAUCUUGGUGAAGAACUCUCUUUCUCUGUAGAGAGCUGCAUCCUACGGAGGUGUAAUCCAGCAGGAGGUGUGUAGCUGCAGUAGCUGG